CGCAUCUGUGCAUGCAGCAUAUCAAUAAGCGGAGGAAAAGAAACUAACAAGGAUUCCCCUAGUAACGGCGAGUGAAGCGGGAAGAGCUCAAAUUUGAAAUCUUAAAGGGUUUCCCUUUACGAAUUGUAGUUUAAAGAAGUGUUUUCUGUUGAGGUUUUGGUAAAAGUUCUUUGGAAUAGGACAUCAUAGAGGGUGAGAAUCCCGUAUUUGACCUUUACUUUCAACUUUGUGAUACACUUUCAAAGAGUCGGAUUGUUUGGGAAUGCAGUCCAAAAUGGGUGGUAAAUUUCAUCUAAAGCUAAAUAUUGGCGAGAGACCGAUAGCGAACAAGUACCGUGAGGGAAAGAUGAAAAGAACUUUGAAAAGAGAGUUAAACAGUACGUGAAAUUGUCAAAAGGGAAGCGUUUGACACCAGUGUUGUUUUUCUGAAAAUCAAUUAAAGAACUGUUUAUGCUAAGUUGUUUAGACUUUAUCAGCUAACUGUUUAGUUUUGAGCUUUUCUUUAAUGCACUUUUCAGUUAACAAGUCAACAUCAAUUUCUUUCGCUGUAAAAAAGCUUGAGGAAGGUGGCUUGAGAUUCGUCUUAAGUGUUUAUAGCCUCUUGCCUAUGCAGUCGGAGGAGAUUGAGGUCUGCAGCGUAGAUCCUUCGGGGCUAAAUGCAUUUGUGCUAAGUUAUAGCAUUUUAUAGACAACUUGUUGACUAUGAUUUGUCUUGUAGCUUACUCGCUUAUGUUAUUUUACCUACGCUUAGGAUGUUGACAGCAGUAUAGACUGU
rnacentral:rRNA from 1 species